rnacentral:ncRNA from 1 species
AAUAAAAUAAUUAUGUUUUGGAAAUUUAUUAUAAAUUUAUUUUACAUAUAAAUUUUAGUAUAUAAUUUUAAUUAUUUAAAUAAUAAUUAAUUAUAUUUUAGUGUAAUUAAUAUUAAAAAUUUAAGAAUUAUAAGAUAUAGUUUAAUAUAAAAAUUAAUAACUAAUUUUGUGCCAGCAGUUGCGGUUAAACAAAAGUUAAAUUAAAUUAUUUCAGUAUAUAAUAAAUAAUUAAAUUAUUAAAAUAAAUAUUAAAUUAUUAAGUGAAAUUUUAAUUUAAUUAAAUUUUAUUUUAAAAUUAUGAUUUAAUAAAUUUUAAUAUAAACUAGGAUUAGAUACCCUAUUAUUAAAAAUUUAAUUUAUAAUACUAAAAUAGUAAAUAAUAAUUUAUUGAAACUUAAAUAACAUGGCGGUAUUUUAGUUCAUUUAGAGGAAUCUGUCUAAUAAUUGAUAAUCCACGAAUAAAUUUACUUAAUUUAUAAUUUUGUAUAUCAUUGUUAAAAAAAUAUUUUUUAGGAAAAAUAAUAUUUAAAAAUUAUAAUAAAAAAUUAAAUCAGAUCAAGAUGCAGAAUAUAAUUAAGAAUAUGAUGGAUUACAUUAAAUAUAUUUAUAUGAAUAAUUUUAUUGUAAUAAAAAUUUGAAGGUGGAUUUAAAUGUAAUUUUAAUUAGUUUAUUAAAAUGAUUAAAAAUUAAAAUAUGUACAUAUUGCCCGUCACUUUCAUUUAAAAAUUGAAAUAAGUCGUAACAAAGUAGAGGUACUGGAAAGUGUUUCUAGAAAGA